CACGUAGGCGGCCAGGCAAGUCCGAUGUGAAAGCCCUCGGCUCAACCGGGGAACUGCAUCGGAUACUGCUUGGCUCGAGGACGGUUGGGGUGAGUGGAACUCCUGGUGGAGCGGUGAAGUGCGUAGAUAUCAGGAGGAACACCAGUGGCGAAAGCGGCUCACUGGACCGUCUCUGACGCUGAGGUGCGAAAGCUAGGGUAGCGAACAGGAUUAGAUACCCUGGUAGUCC
rnacentral:rRNA from 1 species